ensembl:lncRNA
GCUGCUGAUAUCAAAUAAUAAAAUAUAUUACAUUCACAAAGGUUUCCAAAGUUUUACAGGAAGUGGAGCUAAGCUUUUAUUUCCAUCUGUUUAUCCAGGACGAGGCAGAGGGCAUCCGGAUAAUACUAGCAGAAAUUUCUAGCCGCUAGCUAGAUUGCUACAUUCAAAGUGGAAAUGUCAAAAUCCCAUACGCUCCUGGAAGGUUCUCUAAAGGGUCAGAGUAGAACAUCUUUACAAAACUAGAACUACUGACCAUCCAGACAUGUACAGUGUUCCAAUUUCAAUUCAGUUUUAUUUGUAUAACACUUUUAACAACGGACAUUGUCUCAAAGCAGCUUUACAGAAACAUAUAAACACAGAAUACAGAUUUUAAAUGUGUGAAUUUAUCCCUAUUGAGCGAGCCGGUGGUGAUGGUGGUGAGGAAAAACUCCCUAAGAUGAUCUGAGGAAGAAACCUUGAGAGGAACCAGACUCAGAAGAGAACCCGUCCUCAUCUGGGUAACAACGGAUAGUGUGAAAGUAAAAGAAAGUUCAUUAUGGUUUUUAUAUGAAGUCUGUUUGUUGAACUAGUCCACUGUUCACUAAAGGAGAUCUGAGUGCAAAACUGCAUGUGGUAAUCGCUGUCCUAAGGCCAACGCAGCAACCGUAGUCCCAGAAACCACAGCGAGGAUGUCCAUGUGGAAUUGAGGUCCAGAAAAAUUUCUAUGGUACUUCAAGUGGUACCACCCUCAGCAAUCUCCAGGCUGCGCUGCUUGGGUCGUCCUCAGUGGCAGAAUGUAGCCUCCAGUUGAUGAGUGCGCCAUCCAGAGGUAGGGCAUUAGGAUGAACAGGCAGGUCCGGAGAGCUGAAAGGAUCAGGAUCACUGGCAUCUCCAUAAUAUCCAGCAGCAUGAACUGAAGAUCAGAGUAAGUCCUGGAGUCAUCUGUGUGAACUCUGACCCCAGAAGCAGCUUGAACUCUUCCUUCAGGAGUGAGACCCCAGAGAGUCCCAAACAAGAACUAGAUCAGAGAGAAAGAGAGAGAGAGAGAGUAUAAAGUAUGAAAUUUAUUCUGACUCGUACUCAUCACACACACAGAGGUAGGCUGUGUUGGGUUAAACAGUGGAGUCCUAUUCAGAGGGGAUUAGCACUUCAGUUUUCUGCUUGUGUGUGUGUUCAGUAUGAAACAGAACUGGACGUGUCUUCACCAUUUACACUGAAA